AACGUAGGACACAAGCAUUAUCCGGAGUUACUGGGCGUAAAGGGCGUGUAGGCGGAUCGGUAAGUCUACUCUGAAAGCUCCUGGCUAAACUGGGAGAGGCGAGUGGAGACUGUCGGUCUAGAGUGAGGAAGAGGAAAGUGGAAUUCCGCGUGUAGUGGUGAAAUGGACGCAGAUAUCAGGAGGAACACCGGUGGCGAAGGCGGGUCUCUGGACAGUUCCGUGACGCUGAGGCACGGAAGGUCAGGGGAGGCAAAACGGG
rnacentral:rRNA from 1 species